UAGCCCAUACCCCCCACUUCCCUAAAAAUGACCUAAUCCUUAACCUUUCUUCUGGAGUAAAAAAAAACCUAGGAGCUGAACCUAGAAAUCGGCAGGCCCUUCAGCCAUCUCCACAUUUUCUUCUUCAACCUUAACACACAUAAAAACUCUAAGAACACCCUUAGCUUCUUCUGCUAGACCCUAACCAAAGACCACAAAAAAUGGGCAGACACACAAAAACAAGAGCUCCCAACGACAGCUUCUUCUUCAACCCUUGAACCACUCUAGACCGCCGCACACCCUACUGUCACCUAGCCUCAUCACCGCCAGCCACUUUACUCGCCGGAACAAGACCUUGCCGCCAUCAGUCCCUCGACCAACGAUCCUCUUUGAUUUCUGCCACUUUCCCCACCACCAAAAGUCGUCGUUCAAACCUCCACCCUAAGACACUAAAGGCAGCCGCCGGCCACCAACCUUAAUAACCUUCACACCCCUGCCGCCGCCUCGAGCCGUCUCUCCCUAACUCCCAACGAGAUCAGUUGUCCAUCCCCACAAAGAAGACUCCUAACAGAACCCCUUUUGAUUUUGAGCUCUUGUUUUGUUCUCUACUAAAAAAAACAUACCCACGCAUAGACAUAGCAGAACAAGGAGAUAGCGAGGUAGUCCGGUCAGAGUUCGACGAGGUUUUUCGGUUUAGAUCUUAUGCGUGGUUCCGUUGCUUAGCAUCGUUUAACUGUCCAACAGUCGGAUUUCAUAUCUAUUCGAGGCAUGGAUCUAUGUACCAGAACUCGAGCAUGACAGAUACCCCAGGACCAUCGCAUUUGGGAGCUUGUUUGAAGAGAUUUUUAUAUUUUGAGUCUGUUUUCAUGUUUUCUUUUACUUUCUUGUCUUGUCUAGUAGUUUUGAUUCUUUUAGGUGGUGUAAGAGUUUGCCGAGUCUUUUGUCAUCGUACUUCUCAUUUGUAUUUGAAAAAAAAUAGUUAUAAAUGAAAAUCCAAAAAGAUUUUUGUUUUUUA